UCUCUUCUGCUUCAAAUUUUGUCCUUUUCACUUUUUCUCUCUCUAAAUCUUCAUUUUCAUCUCUCUCUAAAUCUGAACCCCAUUUCCUCAAAAUCACACCCAUUUUUGCCAUUUCAAUUUUCAAGCCCUAGAGGAGGUAAAACAGUGGAGAAAUGGGUUGUGCUCAAUCAAGAAUAGAUAACGAAGAAUCAGUUUCAAGAUGCAAAGAUCGGAGAAACUUCAUGAAAGAAGCUGUAAACUAUAGAAACUUCUUUGCUGCUGCACAUUCAGCUUAUUCCAUUGCUUUGAAGAACACUGGUGCUGCUUUGAGUGAUUAUGCGCAAGGUGAAACCCCACCUGAGCUGCCGCCGCCGGCUGUUAAUGAGCCGCCGCCGCCACCACCACCGAUGUCGAAUAUGGAAGCUAGCCCACUCCCACCACCCCCUCCUCCCCCACCGACUUUCUCACCUUUAACCCCACUUCAACGCUCUUUUACUAUGCCUGAACUGUCGAAACCCAGAGGUAGGAAAAUGAAAGGCAUUGGUAUUGAUGAGCAUGAUGAGGA
rnacentral:misc_RNA from 1 species